GGAUUCCUAGCUCAGUUGGUUAGAGCACCGUCCUGAUAAGACGGAGGUGCCGGGUUCGAUUCCCGGGGGAUCCACAA
rnacentral:tRNA from 1 species